rnacentral:tRNA from 1 species
CCGACCUUAGCUCAGUUGGUAGAGCGGAGGACUGUAGUGUGUUCUGUAAUCCUUAUGUCGCUGGUUCGAAUCCGGCAGGUCGGA